UCCGCCUGUUUAUCAAAAACAUGGCCUUUUGGUUUGCGUAAAAUAUGAAAGGUUUGACCUGCCCAGUGGUUUUGGCUAAACGGCUGCAGUGAGUAAUUGUACAAAGGUAGCGAAAUCAGUUGUCCUUUAAAUGGGGAAAGGUAUGAAAGGUUUGACGAUAAAAAAGCUGUCUCUUAAAAAUAUUAUGAAGUUUCCGUUUAAGUGAAAAGGCUUAAAUUUUUGAAAAAGACGAGAAGACCCUAUUGAGCUUGAUUAUAUUUUUUUAUUAGGGAGGAUUGAAGUUUUAUUGGGGCAAUAGGAAGCUAAAAAGAACGCUUCUUUUUAGAGUAGGGAUCCUUCAUGGGAGAAAUAAGCAAAAGCUACCAUAGGGAUAACAGCGUUAUCUUUCUUAAGAGUUCUGAUUAAGGGAAAGGUUUGCGACCUCGAUGUUGGAUUAAGAUAUCUUUUUGGUGCAGCAGCUAAAAAAGUAAGACUGUUCGUCUUUUAAAAUUUUACGUGAUCUGAGUUCAGACCG
rnacentral:rRNA from 1 species